rnacentral:rRNA from 1 species
GAUGAACGCUGGCUACAGGCUUAACACAUGCAAGUCGAGGGGAAACGACGGGGAAGCUUGCUUCCCCGGGCGUCGACCGGCGCACGGGUGAGUAACGCGUAUCCAACCUGCCUCUGACUGAGGGAUAACCCGUCGAAAGUCGGCCUAAUACCUCAUGGUAUCGUCUGCGGGCAUCCAACGACGAUUAAAGAUUUCAUCGGUCAGGGAUGGGGAUGCGUCUGAUUAGCUUGUUGGCGGGGUAACGGCCCACCAAGGCUACGAUCAGUAGGGGUUCUGAGAGGAAGGUCCCCCACAUUGGAACUGAGACACGGUCCAAACUCCGACGGGAGGCAGCAGUGAGGAAUAUUGGUCAAUGGGCGAGAGCCUGAACCAGCCAAGUAGCGUGCAGGAAGACGGCCCUAUGGGUUGUAAACUGCUUUUAUGCGGGGAUAAAGUGAGGGACGUGUCCCUCAUUGCAGGUACCGCAUGAAUAAGGACCGGCUAAUUCCGUG